UAUGUGAUCGUCUCUCGCAUAUCAAUAAGCGGAGGAAAAGAAACUAACAAGGAUUCCCCUAGUAACGGCGAGUGAAGCGGGAAGAGCUCAAAUUUGAAAUCUUCAAGGGUUCUACCUUUACGAAUUGUAGUUUAAAGAAGUGUUUUCUGUUAGUGGAGUGGCUAAAAGUUCUUUGGAAUAGGACAUCAUAGAGGGUGAGAAUCCCGUAUUUGACCUUUACUUUCAACUUUGUGAUACACUUUCAAAGAGUCGGAUUGUUUGGGAAUGCAGUCCAAAAUGGGUGGUAAACUUCAUCUAAAGCUAAAUAUUGGCGAGAGACCGAUAGCGAACAAGUACCGUGAGGGAAAGAUGAAAAGAACUUUGAAAAGAGAGUUAAACAGUACGUGAAAUUGUCAAAAGGGAAGCGUUUGACACCAGUGUUGUUUUUUCUGAAAAUCAAUUAAAGAACUGUUUAUGCUAAGCUGUUUAGACUUUAUCAGCUAAUCUGCUUAGUUUUGAGCUUUUCUUUAAUGCACUUUUCAGUUAACAAGUCAACAUCAAUUUCUUUUGCUGUAAAAAAGCUUGAGGAAGGUGGCUUGAGAUUCGUCUUAAGUGUUUAUAGCCUCUUGCCUAUGCAGUCGGAGAGAUUGAGGUCUGCAGCGUAGAUCCUUCGGGGCUAAAUGCAUUUGUGCUAAGUUAUAACAUUUUAUAGACAACUUGUUGACUAUGAUUUGUCUUGUAGCUUACUCGCUUAUGUUAUUUUACCUACGCUUAGGAUGUUGAGUAGCGACAUACGCAC
rnacentral:rRNA from 1 species